GUCCGCGUGGCCUAAUGGAUAAGGCGUCUGAUUUCGAAUCAGAAGAUUGCAGGUUCGAAUCCUGUCACUGACA
rnacentral:tRNA from 1 species